CACUCUCUUUUCCUUCUGCAAAAUCCCUCCCCUCACGAACGACGAACGACGCAUGAUGAAAACCCCAACCUUAACCCCAUUCUUCUCAUCUCCACGUCCUUUCUUCUUGACAGAGACCCACGGCGAGGAGACCUAUAGCAUCGCUUGAAAUCAAGGCCAAGGGAGAUUUCAUGGCUAUGGGAGGAAGCUUUGAGAAAAAGAGAAUGAAAAUGAAUGGUAAUGUUGAUCUUGGAACUGCUUGUGGCAAGUAUUACCGUGUUUCUUGCCUUAGCAUUAUCAUCCAGAAAAUACAGUGCUGGAGGAAAAUACAGCUGCCAUGUUCAAUAUCAAUGAG